UGUGUCUCCUUGCUCAAAAGUAAGUUUUGAAGACAAGAGAAAAGGAAAGGAAAGAUAAUAUUGAAAAGAGGCGAAUCCCAUUCCCAUCCCCCACCCAUCUCUCUCCCCUCGCCGCCGCCGCGAUUCCGGCGAGUUUCGGCGGCACGCAGCACACCGCCGACACCCCCUCACUCCGGUCCUUCCUCCUCUCCGGCCAGAUUCACGGCUACCGCGCGCAACCCCUCCCAAUCCCCGUGGAUAGGGUCGUGGGCAUGUCCCCGGCUCGAGCUGCGCGCCAAGAUCCACGGCACCAUCCUCCUCCAUGAUCCAGGAGAGGCGGCGGCGGCGGAGGAGCCAAGCCAUGGACCCUAGCCCGCGGCCAUCAGGAUCCGCAGGCAGGAGGCGCAGCCAUGGGAGGAGCAGGACGACGCCAUGGAAGGGUCACCAACAACUCCGGUCUUCUCCAUGGACAUGGAGGUCCUCCGCUGCACUCCCUGAUGCAUCAAGCGCGCAGGCAUACAAGGAGGCUCUGCUUCUUCCCAGGUCGCCAUGGAAGGUUGAUACUAAAUUGGCAAUGUUGCUGUUCCGACCCCGCUGCCGCUGCGGACGCCAUGGAGCCCGUCCAGCAGCAUGAUUGAUUCGGUACUGCAUCAUCCCCGGUUAAUGCAGAGGACAAGGGGCUCAUCGUGUGUGUCUCCCUUCGACCAACGAGGCACGACGUUGUUCGGCACUGGCUGCAAAAUAAUCACGAUUAUUCUUCAGGUUGAUACUAACUUGGUAAUGUUGCUGUUCCGAGACCCCGCUGCCGCUGCGGACGCCAUGGAGACCGUCAAGGCGCAGACUGUUGUGUGCCGCCUCUUCCAUGGGCGUCCACGCCAUGGAGCUCCUUAAGAGACCCUCAAUGAUGACCAAGGUGGAGUGCAGGACAUUGAGGACAUGAUAUGAACCGCCGUUCCAGACGCCCGCCUCAGGGAAGGAGCACUCCAUCCCGCUGAUAACAAUGUUUUGAAAGAGGAGAUGAUGGAUUUGGUGGAGGAGAAGAACUCCCUCAAGGACGAAAAGAGGAGCCCUGUGUACAGAAAACUUGUGAUGCUGCUUUGUCAAGUGCUUGUGUGGUUGUUUCGAUUUGACCUAGAAGACCGCUGCUUCGCUCCUCCGGGUCUGCUUAUUCCCGGGUCGCCGCUGCUCCCACGAUGGAGGAAACGCUUGUCUUGUUUUUCUGUAUUGAGCAAACGCUUGUCUUGUUUUUCUGUAGCAUUCACCAUGCAUGUCUCAUGUGAUCCUUGUGCAGGCCGUAUAGCACUAAUUGGACUGCGGUGGUCUGAUGACACCUUCCCUUGUCCAUGGAGGAUCCUCAAUAGGCAAGAUCAUAUGCCACCGCUGAUCCGAAGCUCAUGCCAGGGGAAGGGAUUCUGUUAUUGCCUUCUAUGUGGGUGGCGUAGACCACUGUGUGCCUCCUCUUCCAUGGACGCAGCAGCUGCUCCGACCCCGCUGCCGACACCAUGGAGAUCGUCAAGAUUGCAUUCCUCGGGAAGAUACUCCUUUCGUCCAUCAAACCUACCGGACAUGAUGGAAAAUCUCCAUCGCGCGCGACACCGGUCAUUUUCUCUUGCCAAGCGGUGCUGCAGAAGUUGACGCGGUUUGGGCUUGAAGAUGCACACGAUGGCGCCGUCGUCCUCGUGCUUUCUUCGCUGAUGAAGAUGCACUGGAUGGCGUCGUUGUCCUCGGGCUCUCUCCGCUGAUGAAGAUGCACUGGAUGGUGCAGUCGUCCUCGGGCUUUCUCUGCUGAUAAAGAUGCACUGGAUGGCGGCGUCGUCCUCGAGCUUUCUCCAUUGAUGGGUUAGGUUUCAGAAUUAAGCCAUGUAUGUAGUAGUUUGGCUCUGUCAUGUUGUAAUGUUUGUGAUGGAAGGACGCGAAGUACCUGUGCUUCCUGGGAUGUGUAGUGGACUCGAGAUGUUUUUUAUCAUCUCAUCUGAGAAGUAGUUGAUGACAUAGAUAUUUAACUUUGUUUUGGUGAAGAUGUAUUGCACUGCGCUGUGUGUGCGCGCGCACAUGCAUGCGUGUUCCUGUUUGAUCAUAUCUGGUGGAAGUAACAUCUUCAUUGUGAAGGUUGGGAUGUGAAA